rnacentral:rRNA from 1 species
CCUACGGGUGGCAGCAGUGAGGAAUAUUGGUCAAUGGACGAGAGUCUGAACCAGCCAAGUAGCGUGAAGGAUGACUGCCCUAUGGGUUGUAAACUUCUUUUAUAUGGGAAUAAAAUGUUCCACGUGUGGGAUUUUGUAUGUACCAUAUGAAUAAGGAUCGGCUAACUCCGUGCCAGCAGCCGCGGUAAUACGGAGGAUCCGAGCGUUAUCCGGAUUUAUUGGGUUUAAAGGGAGCGUAUGUGGAUUGUUAAGUCAGUUGUGAAAGUUUGCGGCUCAACCGUAAAAUUGCAGUUGAAACUGGCAGUCUUGAGUACAGUAGAGGUGGGCGGAAGUCGUGGUGUAGCGGUGAAAUGCUUAGAUAUCACGAAGAACUCCGAUUGCGAAGGCAGUUCACUGGACUGCAACUGACACUGAGGCUCGAAAGUGUGGGUAUCAAACAGGAGUAGAUACCCCUGUAGUC